ACCCUGCGGGAGAGUCCGGCCGCCAUACGGGCCGGCGCCGAAGGAGCAACCGCCCCCCGGAAACUCUCAGGCACCCGGACCGCAGGGGG
rnacentral:ncRNA from 1 species